GGCCCAGGAACUGCAUCGGGAUGAGGUUUGCUCAGGUGAGCAUGAAGCUGGCCAUCGUGGAGAUCCUGCAGAGGUUCGACGUAUCCGUGUGUGACCAGACUCAGGUUCCUCUGGAGCUCGGCACCAGUGGUCUCCUGGUCCCCAAGGACCCCAUCAAACUCCAGUUCAAGCCUCGGAAGGUUUUCCUCUCAGAAGAUACGUGUAACAACAACACAUCGUAAAGAAGCUCUGCUGCUCGCUUCUCUUUCAGUCCGAGGAGAAGGUUUAACUGGUCUUUUAUAA